rnacentral:rRNA from 1 species
GUAGUCAUAUGCUUGUCUCAAAGAUUAAGCCAUGCAUGUCUAAGUAUAAGCAACUUUGUACUGUGAAACUGCGAAUGGCUCAUUAAAUCAGUUAUAGUUUAUUUGAUGGUUUUUGCUACAUGGAUAACUGUGGUAAUUCUAGAGCUAAUACAUGCAUUCAAGCCCCGACUUCUGGAAGGGGUGUAUUUAUUAGAUAAAAAUCAACUUUGUUGGUGAAUCAUAAUAACUUCUCGGACCGCAUGGCCUCGUGCUGGCGGUGCUUCAUUCAAAUAUCUGCCCUAUCAACUGUCGAUGGUAGGAUAGAGGCCUACCAUGGUUGCAACGGGUAACGGGGAAUAAGGGUUCGAUUCCGGAGAGGGAGCCUGAGAAACGGCUACCACAUCCAAGGAAGGCAGCAGGCGCGCAAAUUACCCAACCCCAACACGGGGAGGUAGUGACAAUAUGUAACAAUAUACGGCCUUAUACGUCGUAUAAUUGGAAUGAGUACAAUUUAAAUCCCUUAACGAGGAACAAUUGGAGGGCAAGUCUGGUGCCAGCAGCC